AGUGAACGCUGGCGGUAGGCCUAACACAUGCAAGUCGAACGGCAGCACAGUAAGAGCUUGCUCUUACGGGUGGCGAGUGGCGGACGGGUGAGGAAUACAUCGGAAUCUACUUUUUCGUGGGGGAUAACGUAGGGAAACUUACGCUAAUACCGCAUGCGACCUACGGGUGAAAGCAGGGGAUCUUCGGACCUUGCGCGAUUGAAUGAGCCGAUGUCGGAUUAGCUGGUUGGCGGGGUAAAGGCCCACCAAGGCGACGAUCCGUAGCGGGUCUGAGGUGAUGAUCGGCCAAACUGGAACUAGGCAACGGUCCGGACCCUGACGGGAGGAAGCAGUGGGGAAUAUUGGCAAAGGGGCGCAAGCCUGAUCCAGCCAUACCGCGUGGGGGAAGAAGGCCUUCGGGUGGUAAAGCCCUUUUGUUGGGAAAGAAAAGCAGCAGGUUAAUACCCCGCUGUUCGGACGGUACCCAAAGAAUAAGCACCGGCUAACUUCGU
rnacentral:rRNA from 1 species